GCCAGUUUGCCCGAGAGGUUAAGGAGGAAGACUCAAGAUCGUCUGCACAUAAGUGCGCAUGGGUUUGAACCCCAUGGCAAGCA
rnacentral:tRNA from 1 species